GGUGGAGUUUGUACAUUUUAGACAGAGACUCACAAUUGAGCAGAGGCGUCAUGGGCUAUGUUUAUACAGCUGGCCUAAGAACCCAAUUGCCGAUUGUUUCUUUUUGUCUGACUACUUACCCUCGGUUUUAAAUGACCCAUAUCAGGUAGGCCUUUGCACAUUUAGCUAAGGUGCGUGGUAGAUAACUGUUAUCUUGGUCAUCUAAGGUCACUCACCUAUGUAACAAAAUCCGUAGAACUUCCAACUUGUUUAGAAAGAGAGCAAAGUAUAUACUUGAAAUGAUACUCAAGCGAAUAAUCCAACCCUUUGUUGGCGAAUGACUGUUCUGUGGCAGGGGGAAAUGCAACAUCGGGUGAUAUUAGAUUGAAGUAGAGAAAAAAAAACAAUUACAAGGCAACAAGAACAGUUUUGAAACGGAAGUUCGACUACAACGCUAUGACUAUGCAUAAUACAAUGGAAGCCUGCCGCCAACUGAUGGACAUAUCUAUAGAAAACUCAAAGAUGGCCCCGCUCCUGAAUUUGAGAUAAACAUAACCAAUUACCUUGCUGCUGCUUCGGAACUGGCAAGUGGCAGAGAUACACCUCUGUUUGUCAGACCAGGAGACAUCCCGAAAAUCGGUCUUCUCAAGAAAACAUCUAGUGUCCGAAUGUGAUAAGGACUCAUUCACAGCAGCCAUCUUCCUCCUCCCUUACAUCUUCAAUGAAGAACCCAGAGGCCUCUACAUUAUGAAGGUAUGUGUAUGAAAACCG